rfam:Lottia gigantea unplaced genomic scaffold LOTGIsca_12, whole genome shotgun sequence.
AAAGUUACCCUGUUAAUCGAAGAAGUCUUAUAUUUUAUCUCACUUCUCGUUUCACAGGGUAUAUUU